rnacentral:rRNA from 1 species
GAUGAACGCUGGCGGCGUGCCUAAUACAUGCAAGUCGAGCGAACAGACGAGGAGCUUGCUCCUCUGACGUUAGCGGCGGACGGGUGAGUAACACGUGGAUAACCUACCUAUAAGACUGGGAUAACUUCGGGAAACCGGAGCUAAUACCGGAUAAUAUAUUGAACCGCAUGGUUCAAUAGUGAAAGACGGUUUUGCUGUCACUUAUAGAUGGAUCCGCGCCGCAUUAGCUAGUUGGUAAGGUAACGGCUUACCAAGGCAACGAUGCGUAGCCGACCUGAGAGGGUGAUCGGCCACACUGGAACUGAGACACGGUACAGACUCCUACGGGAGGCAGCAGUAGGGAAUCUUCCGCGAUGGGCGAAAGCCUGACGGAGCAACGCCGCGUGAGUGAUGAAGGUCUUCGGAUCGUAAAACUCUGUUAGUAGGGAAGAACAAAUGUGUAAGUAACCAUGAACGUCUUGACGGUACCUAAUCAGAAAGCCACGGCUAACUACGUG